rnacentral:tRNA from 1 species
GAAGAUUUUAAUUAAAAUAUAAUAUUAAUUUGUCAAAUUAAAAUUGCUUUUGCAUUUCUUA